UAAUUUAUAGUAUUUAUUAAAAAAAAUUCCAAUCAUCUCUAUAAAUAGUCUCUUGUAUGUAUUGCUUGUUGAUUAAUAACUUGAAAGAGAGAAUGGUUUAUAGCAUCAACUGUGUCUGUUUUUUCAUUGCAUUGCUAUGCAUGACAUCCAUUUCGAAUCGAGGAGGAAUUAUUGAUGCAACAACAACUAGUGGUGGUCCAUUUGAUAUUUGCACUACCCACGGGCCAUGUCCAAAUAUUUCUGAUGACGACUGUAGUGAUUAUUGUUCGGAUAAAUUGUUGCUUACUUUUGGUGGCACGUGCUUUGAGAAUGAAUGUUGUUGUUCUACUGGAUAUACUUUCAUAUAUGAUUUUAGUGUAUAAUGUUUAAUUAACGUUAUAUAUUUUGAAAAUUUGAUAAUAAAUAAAUACAUCGAUUUUAGUUUUAAAUAUCA